GCCUGAUCCAGCCAUGCCGCGUGAGUGAUGAAGGCCCUAGGGUUGUAAAGCUCUUUCAACGGUGAAGAUAAUGACGGUAGCCGUAGAAGAAGCCCCGGCUAACUUCGUG
rnacentral:rRNA from 1 species